UUUUGUAGAAUAUUUUAAAUUCAUUGAACAUACAGAUAUUUUUUUCUCUCUCCUCCUCCUCCUCCUCCUCCUCCAUUGUUCUACCAAAUCACUAUUUAUUGUCCCACGUUCCACAUCAUGGUAUUAAUGCUUGAUCAGAUUUGUUAGAUCUUUGGUGCUGAGUCCAGAAAGUUCUUCACCCAAAAGCUGCCUGUGGUUCAUAAAAAAAGAAACACAUGGAAGAAGACAUUGCAAUUUCCCAAUUUCAAAUCUUGGGUGUCAUUUCCUUAAUAAUUCUUGGAUUUGAAUUAAUCGCUCUCAUAUCCAUGUCAAGGAGAUAUAUACCAACUGGAAGUUUCGAGGAAUUGACAAAUUUGGCAUAUACAAACUAAAACCUGGUAUAGGGCAUUGUCCAAUCUCAGGUGUUCCUUUGAUAUUCCCAGUCCACUCUUGCGACCAAAGAAAGAACACAAUGAAGUAGGUUAAGGUCAGCUAAAGGAUUUGAUGGGGCUAAGGAUGGUUCCAAAAAGAGCAGCUACUUUAGAUGAACGCUACUGUGGUUGCACUAUUUAUUUGCAUGCAUGAAAUUGACAUACGUGUAUCCUGUUCGCUCGAGCCAUGAUAAAGAUGGGUGAAUUCGAUAUCAAAGGGAUGAAAAGAAGCUGAUAGCAUAAUACAUGAGUAGGUUGGCCAAGAAUAACCUUGAUGAUCAAGAGAACUUUACUGACCAUCCCUAAAUCCCAACGAAAGCCUUCUACCGGGGCUUUGCUGGGAAAACCUGCUUAAAAAAAUGGACAUGUGUGAAGACCAAGAGCGGUUAUUCACUUUUCUUCUUCCUUAGUCUAAGCAAUCAAUUUGUGAGAUAAAUUAAUUCUCCAUUUGUAGUUAGAUUUUUGCGUUUGUAUAACCUUUUUUUUCGAGUUCUACCUUGAAAGGAAACCUACAAUGAGAUUGUACCCGAAUAGAGAUGGUGGUCUUACUCUGGCCCAUAAUAGAAUAGCUAGGUGAAGCAGUCAAUCGAUCUUAUAUAUAAGAAGAACAAAAGAUCUUUCUUGAUCAA
rnacentral:lncRNA from 1 species